ACAAUCCUCUCUAUUCCUAGGCAAUUAGUCUCAGGUGUUUGGAGAGAGCAGGCACAAGAGAGAAUGUGAGCUUAUUUAUAGAAGAAACUUCUUACCAGUUACACAGCUGGAAGGAGGAAGCAUUCUCCAAGUUCUGAGCUGUAGUAAUUCAGAGGAUAUCCUUGUCUCUCCCCACCUUCCUAUAAAUAAAUUGGAGGACUUCUCUAAAAGUCUGUCUCUAAAAACCAAUGUGUACAACUCCAAAGCUUGUUCAUUAGAUGAUCAUUAUAAGCUACAUGUUUUCCUGUUGAUGUAUGUAUAACUGCCAAUAAUGAUAAAAAGAGGUGCAUACACCCAGAUCUAUUGUGAAAUCUCUGACUUAGUUAUAAGGAUCCAUAAAUAAAUGUAUAUCCCUCAUUAUCUAUUUCCACCAAGUUUGUUGUAUAACUCAAUUUGCAUGGAAUUACUCCUGAUUCACACCAGUGUGAACAAGAAGAAACUUUGGCUCCCAGUCUUUAGGAUUACAAGACUACUUAUUGGCCUAGUCCUGUAUUUUGUAGAACUGUUUUCUAUCUUCCUCUAACUGUAUAUAUCUUUUGGGAUGUACCAUCUCAGUUUAAUAUCACCUCCAAUUUGCUAUUGAUAUGUUAGUAUCAUUUUAGGUAGGUCCUAUUGCUAUAAUACUUUCCAUUAAAGCACAAUGAGCUUC